rnacentral:rRNA from 2 species
GUUGUAUGGUUAAGUGACUAAGCGUACACGGUGGAUGCCUAGGCAGUUGGAGGCGAUGAAGGACGUACUAACUUGCGAUAAGCCAUGAUAAGCCAGUAAGAGGCAUUUGAAUCA